CUUCACCUACGGGAGGCAGCAGUAGGGAAUCUUCCACAAUGGACGAAAGUCUGAUGGAGCAACGCCGCGUGAGUGAUGAAGGGUUUCGGCUCGUAAAGCUCUGUUGGGAGUGAAGAAAGAUAGAGGUAGUAACUGGCCUUUAUUUGACGGUAAUUACUUAGAAAGUCACGGCUAACUACGUGCCAGCAGCCGCGGCAAUACGUAGGUUGCAAGCGUUGUCCGGAUUUAUUGGGCGUAAA
rnacentral:rRNA from 1 species